rfam:Xenorhabdus innexi strain HGB1681 (deposited as PTA-6826 in the American Type Culture Collection) genome assembly, scaffold: XIS1_scaffold1
AUCACUGCAAACACAAUCACCACGAUUACCACCGAAACUACAGGUUACGGUGCGGGCUGACGCGUAAAACAAAAUAGUAAAAAGCCCGUAUCCAACAAGAUACGGGCUUUUUUUUU